rnacentral:rRNA from 1 species
CUCGGUAGUUAUAGCGGAGAGGACCCACCCGUUCCCAUCCCGAACACGGAAGUUAAGCUCUCUUGCGCCGAUGGUACUGCACGGGCGACUGUGUGGGAGAGUAGGGAGCUGCCGGGA